rnacentral:rRNA from 1 species
GAUGAACGCUGGCGGCGUGCCUAAUACAUGCAAGUCGAGUGAAUGGAUUAAGAGCUUGCUCUUAUGAAGUUAGCGGCGGACGGGUGAGUAACACGUGGGUAACCUGCCCAUAAGACUGGGAUAACUCCGGGAAACCGGGGCUAAUACCGGAUAACAUUUUGAACCGCAUGGUUCGAAAUUGAAAGGCGGCUUCGGCUGUCACUUAUGGAUGGACCCGCGUCGCAUUAGCUAGUUGGUGAGGUAACGGCUCACCAAGGCAACGAUGCGUAGCCGCCCUGAGAGGGUGAUCGGCCACACUGGGACUGAGACACGGCCCAGACUCCUACGGGAGGCAGCAGUAGGGAAUCUUCCGCAAUGGACGAAAGUCUGACGGAGCAACGCCGCGUGAGUGAUGAAGGCUUUCGGGUCGUAAAACUCUGUUGUUAGGGAAGAACAAGUGCUAGUUGAAUAAGCUGGCACCUUGACGGUACCUAACCAGAAAGCCACGGCUAACUACGUGCCAGCCGCCGUAGUAA